CAAAGGAAGUUGACGGGGCCCGCACAAGCGGUGGAGUAUGUGGUUUAAUUCGAUGCAACGCGAAGAACCUUACCUGGUCUUGACAUCCCGGAGACCCUUAGGAAACUAGGGGGUGCUUCCAUCUGGAAGAAUCUGGAGACAGGUGCUGCAUGGCUGUCGUCAGCUCGUGUCGUGAGAUGUUGGGUUAAGUCCCGCAACGAGCGCAACCCUUGCCUUUAGUUGCCAGCAGUUCGGCUGGGCACUCUAAAGGGACUGCCGGUGUUAAACCGGAGGAAGGUGGGGAUGACGUCAAGUCCUCAUGGCCUUUAUGACCAGGGCUACACACGUACUACAAUGGCCGAUACAAAGGGCAGCGACACUGCGAGGUGAAGCCAAUCCCGUAAAAUCGGUCUCAGUCCGGAUUGGAGUCUGCAACUCGACUCCAUGAAGUUGGAAUCGCUAGUAAUCGUGGAUCAGCAUGCCACGGUGAAUACGUUCCCGGGCCUU
rnacentral:rRNA from 1 species